GUGUUGCCGUUUUGUUGUAUUAACGUUGGCACUGUCUUUUUCUGCAGAGAUGGACAGAGACGUAUGUGCGUUGGUCUCCUAAGGGCACCUACCUGGCUACCUUUCAUCAAAGAGGCAUUGCUCUAUGGGGGGGAGAGAAAUUCAAGCAAAUUCAGAGAUUCAGCCACCAAGGGGUUCAGCUCAUUGACUUCUCACCUUGUGAAAGGUACCUGGUGACCUUUAGCCCCCUGAUGGACACGCAGGAUGACCCUCAGGCCAUAAUCAUCUGGGACAUCCUUACGGGGCACAAGAAGAGGGGUUUUCACUGUGAGAGCUCAGCCCAUUGGCCUAUUUUUAAGUAAGUGGACCAUUGUAAUGAGCUCUGUAGCCUUUGUCUUUUCUUGGGAAUACCCUGGCACUUCUGUUUCUUCUUAGGUGGAGCCAUGAUGGCAAAUUCUUUGCCAGAAUGACCCUGGAUACGCUUAGCAUCUAUGAAACUCCUUCUAUGGGGCUUUUGGACAAGAAGAGUUUGAAGAUCUCCGGGAUAAAGUGAGUAUUCUUAUCAAUUUGGUGUCUUAGUGUGUUCAGGCUGCUUAACACAAUA
rnacentral:sRNA from 1 species